AUUGAACGCUGGCGGCAGGCCUAACACAUGCAAGUCGAACGAGUGGCGGACGGGUGAGUCAUGUCUGGGCAACUGCCUGAUGGAGGGGGAUAACUACUGGAAACGGUAGAUAAUACCGCAUACCAUCGGAUGUGCCCCGAUGGGAUUAGCUAGUAGGUGGGGUAAAGGCUCACCUAGGCGACGAUCCCUAGCUGGUCUGAGAGGAUGCCCAGCCACAUUGGAACUGAGACACGGCCCAGACUCCUACGGGAGGCAGCAGUGGGGAAUAUUGCACAAUGGGCGCAAGCCUGAUGCAGCCAUGCCGCGUGUUUGAAGAAGGUCUUCGGAUUGUAAAGUACUUUAAGCUGGGAGGCGUUACCAACAGAAUAAGCACCGGCUAACUUCGUGCCAGCAGCCGCGGUAAUUC
rnacentral:rRNA from 1 species